rnacentral:misc_RNA from 1 species
AGCACCAUGCUUUCCUGCAACAUUUUUCACCAUCACUGCAGUUUCCUGUCGCAUUCUCCGCACAUCCCAGCAUCCUUGCCUAAUGAUGUGUCUUAAUAGGAUCUAGGCGACUUCAUGUGGAAUAUGAUAAGUCACUGUUUUGAUGGAUACCGACAGUUUAGAGUGAGGAGUUGGUUUUUAAGAAAGAGAAACCCCCACAUUUGAGACUUGACUUCACAACCACAAAAGAAAAUUUUUUAUGGAUAGUUGUCUAAUUAUCUACCUAGGAAACCUUAAUGAGUGUUGCUCCUAUUGCAAUUGGCUGCUCCUUUGUAAUUUUGUCUGUCAUGCCAAAUGGCUGAUCUCUAUAUGAUGCGUGUUCUCUAUGCAGGCAGUAUCCAUGGGCUUUCAAGU